CCCUACGGGGUGCACCAGGCAGGAUAAAAGGCAAUCGUCGCCCGAUUUUGGUGUGGGUCCUGUCAGAUACGGAGCCUAUAUAGGGCUGAAUAAACAGGGCAGCGAUGUUAUCCAGGGUCAUAAAGAAACCGAUUAAUGCUGCAUCAAGAUUGAACCGAUUUGCCAGGAAGAGUGGUACGAAGGAAUUGUAUACUGACCAGGCAACCAUAACCCCGAAAAAACCGAAACCAAGUAAAAAGGUCUUGCCAUAAUUCAAUUUCUGACUAUUCAUUUUUCUCCUCUGAUUAAAUUGAUGAAUUACCUGCCUCGAAUAUUGGUAGCUUAUAGAUUUUCAUCGUUUUCAGCAAUCUUGCUGGAAACAUAAUUCUCGAGGAAUUGGCGGGGGGGC
rnacentral:rRNA from 1 species